rnacentral:rRNA from 1 species
GAGUUUGAUCCUGGCUCAGGAUGAACGCCGGCGGUGUGCCUAAUACAUGCAAGUCGUACGCACUGGCCCAACUGAUUGAUGGUGCUUGCACCUGAUUGACGAUGGAUCACCAGUGAGUGGCGGACGGGUGAGUAACACGUAGGUAACCUGCCCCGGAGCGGGGAUAACAUUUGGAAACAGAUGCUAAUACCGCAUAACAACAAAGGCCACAUGGCUUUUGUUUGAAAGAUGGCUUUGGCCAUCACUCUGGGAUGGGCCUGCGGUGCAUUAGCUAGUUGGUAAGGUAACGGCUUACCAAGGCGAUGAUGCAUAGCCGAGUUGAGAGACUGAUCGGCCACAAUGGAACUGAGACACGGUCCAUACUCCUACGGGAGGCAGCAGUAGGGAAUCUUCCACAAUGGGCGCAAGCCUGAUGGAGCAACACCGCGUGAGUGAAGAAGGGUUUCGGCUCGUAAAGCUCUGUUGUUGGAGAAGAACGUGCGUGAGAGU